GGAAGGAUCAUUAACGAAAGGUACAUAGAAAGAAUUGUACUAGAAUAGAGUUCUUUGUACUAGCGGGAGCGCGGCUAGGCGCGGAAAACAGACGCAAUGCCGUCGCUAGUGCACUGUAAGCGGAACUCUGAAAAUUAAUCUCCACGCUCCUGGGGGUAGCUGGAGAGCGGUUGCGAUUCGCGCUUAGUCCGUAUCGCUGCGGUUCCUCUCGGGACUUCCGACUAGAUGACAAUUGCUACUCGGGGUCAGUAAAGAACCCGUUGAAGGAAAUACCGCUCGAACUACGAUAGGACUAUCGCGAUCGCGCUGUUCGGAAGACCCUUCGUAACAGACGACCGGGGUUAGGCGGCUACGGAAAUUUUAUAGUCGCCUAGCUCUUCGUCGGGUACCUAACGAGAUUAGCAGUACAGUUGGUCUGGCUGUUGGUAAUAUCUGCUUUUCUCGUAGAUCCGCUUCUAUAGGAAAUUAAUAGAACGGACAGGUUCAAAGAGUCGCCGGCGCUAUACGCGCGGCGUACGAUCCUACGCCGGAAAACUCGCGUAGGGGAGUGCGCUCUGAACGUUGGUAAGUGACGUUCGGGUGACCGCCCGAUACCUAAACCUUUCUACUAUAAAAUAAGUAUCGUUCAGUUACGCAGUAAAGGCGGAACGAAACGAGAUAAAAUUCGAAUCGAGAGAUUCCAUUCUAAGCGGUGGAUCACUAGGCUCGUGGGUCGAUGAAGAACGGGGCCAGCCCCGAGAAUAAGUGCGAAUUGCAGACACAAAGAACAUUGAUACUUCGAACGCAUAUUGCGGUAUCGGGCCAGCUCGAUACCACGCCUGUCUGAGGGUCGAAUUUCGAUCUAAAUUUUACUUUACGGUCCUAGGAAAUAUUAGGCCAUAAUACUUUGUAGUAACCGCGAGACCGAGUGUUCGCAUUGGUAGGAAAUUAAACCAAUGCUAUCGAGGUCAUCCGGUUGAACGGCGGCGAAAUACUACCGCCAGUUGCCUAGUAAUUCCGCGGGAAGUAACGCGGAGCGAACGGCUAACCGAAUACGCGAAUAGCGAAAGUUCUUAGCGAUACCUUUCCGAGCGGCCGCUCCCGAACGAUUAGGAGCGGCGCGCCUCGGCGUAAGAUAGGGGGAUCGCCACGAGCGAGAACUUUUACGCCGUUCGAAUCGUAUUUUGACCUCAGAUCAGACGUGAAAACCCGCCGAAUUUAAGCAUAUAACUAGGCGGAGGAAAAGAAAUUAACGAAGAUUUCCUUAGUAACGGCGAGUGAAAAGGAAAUAGUUCAGCGCUGAAUCCCUUAGCCUAUGGUUUAGGGACCUGUAGCGUGAAGGAGAGCCUAUCUGUCCGGUUAUUGCUUCGGAAGCUCCCUCGAACGGGACCCCAAAGCAGGUGCGAGGCCUGUGCCGAGGUUGGACCGGUCAGUUUGAGCCUCCGUAGAGUCGGGUUGCUUGAGAGUGCAGCCCUAAGCGGAAGGUAAACCCCUUCUAAAACUAAAUAUGACCACGAGACCGAUAGCGAACAAGUACCGCGAGGGAAAGUUGAAAAGAACUUUGAAGAGAGAGUUCAAUAGGGCGUGAAACCGCUUAGAAUAAAACGGACGGAGCCGUCUUGUUCCCUCGGGAAUCAGUCGUACGAUACGCGAAACGACCGCGGUACCAUAGCGUAAGUAUGGCCGCGGUGUAAGUAGUAGCGUUCGUUCGGUGCAUUUCUCGAGGGUUCGCACUGCGACCGGUAUUAGGCCAGCGAAGCGAUCGGAUUGAGGGCGAGACUCGCAAGUUUCUCGUAACCAGUCUUUUCGUCUUAGUAAAUCGCUGGACCGAGGUACCGAGCGCCUAGUAAAUUACGCGUUGGCUGUAAAAGCUCGCCGAGCGACGGAUAGUCGGUCUAUCUACUGGUAACUGCUCGCAGGUGCCGGCGGAUUAGAUCGGUUUAGAAGUCGUCGGCGACGUACAACGCGUUGGCGUCCGCAGUGUCAGCGUCGGUCACCCGUCCGACCCGUCUUGAAACACGGACCAAGGAGUCUAACAUAUGCGCGAGCUAUUGGGCGUAAAACCCAAAAGCGCAAUAAAAGUAAAAACUGUCUUUAGGCAGUCGAGGUACGAUCCUAGAUUUCGAUCUAGGCGCAGUACCGUCCCGUCCCGACCGCACGUCGGUAGGGCGGAGACAGAGCGCAUACGUUGGGACCCGAAAGAUGGUGAACUAUGCCUGAGCAGAGCGAAGCCAGAGGAAACUCUGGUGGAGGUUCGUAGCGGUUCUGACGUGCAAAUCGAUCGUCAGACUUGGGUAUAGGGGCGAAAGACUAAUCGAACCAUCUAGUAGCUGGUUCCCCC
rnacentral:misc_RNA from 1 species